rnacentral:rRNA from 1 species
UACGGAGGGAGCAAACGUUGUUCGGAUUCACUGGGCGUAAAGGGCGUGUAGGCGGUCUGGUAAGUCAGGGGUGAAAUACCACGGCUCAACCGUGGAAUUGCCUUUGAAACUGCCGGACUUGAGGCCGUGAGAGGAGACUGGAAUUCCCAGUGUAGCGGUGAAAUGCAUAGAUAUUGGGAAGAACACCAGUGGCGAAGGCGAGUCUCUGGCACGGUUCUGACGCUGAGGCGCGAAAGCUAGGGGAGCAAACGGG